rnacentral:rRNA from 2 species
GCGACCCCAGGUCAGGCGGGACUACCCGCUGAGUUUAAGCAUAUAAAUAAGCGGAGGAGAAGAAACUUACAAGGAUUCCCCUAGUAACGGCGAGCGAACC